GUCAGCGACCAUACCAGGUAGAAAGCACUGGUUCUCGUCUGAUCACCAAAGUUAAGCUACAUUGGGCGUGGUUAGUACGUGCAUGGGUAACCGGCUGACAAUACCGGAUGCAGCUGACA
rnacentral:rRNA from 1 species